CAUUGUAGCUUCCAAAUUCUGUCACUGGAAUUCUCUCGAUGUGGGAUUACACUUGAAGGUCAUUCAGAAGCCACAGCUGUUGUGCUAUGCAGAGGCCAGGUUGCUUGGUGAUGAUAGCUAUAGAGAGAAUGUGAAACUUCAUUGGUUCCAGAUCUGCUUUCAGGAUGUUGCUGUGGUCUAUAAAUAGCUUCUAGGUUUGAGUAUGUAUUGUCUGAGAGCCUCUAUUCUCCCUAUGCACUGUCCUUGUCACAAUCAAGGACAGUUGCCCAUCAGGACUUACUUUCAUGCAGCUCUCCUUUAUCAGUGACCACAUGGAACUUUGAACACCUUCAUUUUACACGGUGAAACUUCUCUGGUUCAUCUAAACCAGCCUUUGUUCAGACCUACCAGAGACAGCAGGAAUCGAAGUGCAGAGACUGCCUUCACUGGAAGAUAUUUUUCUGGGUUCUUGGAAAUUUGCCACCUAAAUCCUUGGUGUGAAGAAGCCCUAAUCAGGAAUCAGCACGAGAUAUAGCAGGUGGCUACUAACAGAUGGGGAAAAUAAGAAAUAACAGCAAGACAAUUGAGCUUGAUGAAAAAAAGAAGAAAAGCAGAUAUCUCCCCAGUCUUUAAAAAGAAAAGAAGAAGAACCCAAGGAACUACCUGCCAGUCAGCCUCACCUCAAUUCCUUGAAAGGUGACAGCGGUGACAGUGGCCUCAUUCUGGAGGCCAUCUCUAGCCAUGGGGAUUAUAAGAAGGUGGUUAAGAGCAGUCAGCAUACAUUCAUUGGAGGUAAAUCAUACUUGGCCAACCAGAUUGCCUUUUAGAAUGAAAAAAUGACCUGGAUGGAUGAGUGGAGAAUUGUGGACAUUGUUUACCUCAACUUCAGCACAGCACCCUCACAGGCAAACUCAGGAAGUGUGGGUUGGAUGAGUGGGGAGUGAAGUGAAUUGAGACCUGGCUGAACAGCAGGUCCCAGAGGGUCAUAAUCAGGUAAUCCACCUGGAGGCCUGUCAUGAGUGGGGUCCCCCAAGGUUCACUACUGGGCCCACUAUAGUUUAACAUUUUCAUCAGUGACUGGGAUGAAGGUCCAGGAACCUCCUCAGCAAGUUCACUGACAACACAAAGCUGGGAGGAGUGGACAACAACCCUGAGUGCUCUGCAGCCCAUCAGAAGGACCUGGGCAUGUUGGAGAGAUGAGCAGAAAGGAACCCAUUCGAAUUCAGCAAAAGCAAAUGCAGGAUCCUGCACCAGGGGAGGAAUUAGGACCCCUAAUUCUCCUAGGCUAUGUGAUCCCCUUUAUACCUAUAACUUUGGGGUUUUUCUGUGUGACAUCAUUAACAUUCACAAAGUACGUUUUUCCAGUUUUUCAUAAAAGCUGUUACAGAACUGAUUAUUAAGCAAAAUUUACUUUGCAGUAAACCUGUUUACAAGCUCCUUUGCAUAAUUUAACAGUAAUUUAUAAAGUGACAGUUGUAAGGUAGUCCCAUAAGAUGAAAAAGCAUCAGAGGAAAUAAAGUUUUUCAAGAAGAAAAUCUUGUGUACUGGUGUGACUUGCAUUGUUAACAAGAUUAUCUCUUAAGAUAGUCUUGUUAAUAAUAAACAUAGCCACAUUUUUCACACUGCAUUGGAAUGGUGAUUCUUAGCUUCAGUCACGCAAAGAAAAAUUAUUAACAGACAUGAAGCUAACCUCUUUGGAAAAGGCCUUAAAAGGGUAUUGCAGCACAGAUAAAAUACAAACUCACAGAACUCACAAAUUUUAAGUCUGGAAAGCCCAACCAUUCAAAAGGAAGUUUCUACUUAAGUAAACAAAUGUUUGAAAGCAAGGAAAUAUAAAAUUAAUGGCAUGCAGACAACAUACAUCUGCUGUCAUGCUCCUUCUACAGCCAAAGAGUUUGAGGAAACUUUUCAACAUUGAAUCUUUGAGUUUUUUACCCUUAUGGACUGCUUAACCAAGGAAUUUUGACUUUUUUCCCAGCUUAAAUGCUUAAUAUUGACUGGUUGCAGACUAGAUGACAAAAUUUCAAGACAACAUAAGACAAGUAUAUUUAUAGCAGGUUCCCAGGAGCAGAGAUAAAGAUCUAAGAUUUUCUGCACUUCAGAGGAGAUGUGUCACUUAACAAAAUGCAGAAGAUAUAGUCAAAACAGGACAAAUGGAAAGGGAAGGAAUCAGAAAAGUGAGAGAUGACUGAGAAUAUGCACCAUGUUCUCUUUUGGGUUUCACUCUUGCUGCUCUGCCUGCUUUCUUUGAUGGCUUCACCACUGAGAACUUUGAGCCACACACAUGCAGAGAUGCAUAUUAUCCAGCUAGACUCAGCUGCACUGCUAAAUUUGGAAAUAGAUGUCUGCAGGUUGGAUUUCACUUCAAGCUCUGUUGAUGGAUCCUUUUUUUUUCCUGUGUGUAUAAGUUACUCAUAUUGUCCCUGCUAUUAGAGUUUCUGUCUUCCUCAUAAUCCUCACCUUAUUUAUCCUUGUAGUCCUGAAAAUAGAUUUUGUUCCAAAGAAAUUAAGCAAAAAGAAAUAAAAUAAUUAAUCGAAGGUCAUGGUAGUGACCCUUUGAUGCAGGGGAGGAAAAUGACAUC